GAAAUGAAUCUCAGUUCCCUUUUGACCAUCCUCCCUGGACAUAACCUUAGCCCCCAUGUAGUGAGUCAAGAGUAAUUUAAAGGAGGUACAGCUCCUUUAAAAAAGGAUACAACCUCCACUAGCGGAUAAUUACCUAACCCCAUCCACCAAACUGUAGGCCCUUAAGCAGCCACCAAUAAAGAGUGCGUCAAAGCUCUACACGUAAAAAUCCAACAACAAUAUGACUCCCUCCACCAUUAACAGGCCAACCUAUACCAAUAGGAGCAUUAAUGCUAAAAUAAGUAACCAGGGAUUCACCCUCUCAAGCGCAAACUUACAUCCACAUUAAUUAACAGAUAACAAGCCGAUAUUUCAACUACAACAAGACCAAAAUAUUGAACCCACCCUGUUACACCAACCGAGGAGCGCCUAACUAGAAAGAUUAAAAUCUGUAAAAGGAACUAGGCAAACCCAAGGCCCGACUGUUUACCAAAAACAUAGCCUUCAGCCCACCAAGUAUUGAAGGUGAUGCCUGCCCAGUGACACUGUGUUUAACGGCCGCGGUAUCCUAACCGUGCGAAGGUAGCGCAAUCAAUUGUCCCAUAAAUCGGGACUUGUAUGAAUGGCUAAACGAGGUCUUAACUGUCUCCUACAGAUAAUCAGUGAAAUUGAUCUUCCUGUGCAAAAGCAGGAAUGCUAACAUAAGACGAGAAGACCCUGUGGAACUUAAAAAUCAGCAGCCACUACAAACAAACUCAAACCUACUAGGCUUCCCUUACCAUAAACACUGGCCUGCAUUUUUCGGUUGGGGCGACCUUGGAGAAAAACAAACCCUCCAAAAAUAAGACUACACCUCUUAACCAAGAGCUACCCCUCAACGUACUAACAGUAACCAGACCCAAUACAAUUGACCAAUGGACCAAGCUACCCCAGGGAUAACAGCGCAAUCCCCUCUAAGAGCCCUCAUCGACGAGGGGGUUUACGACCUCGAUGUUGGAUCAGGACAUCCUAAUGGUGUAGCCGCUA
rnacentral:rRNA from 1 species